UACGUAGGGUGCAAGCGUUAAUCGGAAUUACUGGGCGUAAAGCGUGCGCAGGCGGCUUUGCAAGACAGAUGUGAAAUCCCCGGGCUUAACCUGGGAACCUGCAUUUGUGACUGCAUGGCUGGAGUGCGGCAGAGGGGAUGGAAUUCCGCGUGUAGCAGUGAAAUGCGUAGAUAUGCGGAGGAACACCGAUGGCGAAGGCAAUCCCCUGGCCUGCACUGACGCUCAUGCACGAAAGCGUGGGGAGCAAACAGG
rnacentral:rRNA from 1 species